GACGAACGCUGGCGGCGUGCUUAACACAUGCAAGUCGUACGGUAAGGCCCUUUCGGGGGUACACGAGUGGCGAACGGGUGAGUAACACGUGAGUAACCUGCCCACAACUUUGGGAUAACGCUAGGAAACUGGUGCUAAUACUGGAUAUGUGCUCCUGCUGCAUGGUGGGGGUUGGAAAGCUCCGGCGGUUGUGGAUGGACUCGCGGCCUAUCAGCUUGUUGGUGGGGUAGUGGCCUACCAAGGCGGCGACGGGUAGCCGGCCUGAGAGGGUGACCGGUCACAUUGGGACUGAGAUACGGCCCAGACUCCUACGGGAGGCAGCAGUGGGGAAUAUUGCACAAUGGGCGCAAGCCUGAUGCAGCAACGCCGCGUGCGGGAUGACGGCCUUCGGGUUGUAAACCGCUUUCAGCAGGGACGAAGCUUUUUGUGACGGUACCUGCAGAAGAAGCACCGGCUAACUACGUG
rnacentral:rRNA from 1 species